rnacentral:misc_RNA from 1 species
GAAAUGCGAUAAGUAAUGUGAAUUGCAAAAUUCCGUGAAUCAUUAAAUCUUUGAACGCACCUUGCGCUCUUUGGCAAUCCAGAGAGCAUGUCUGUUUGAGAAUCAGUUUAAAUCUCAACUCCUUUGUUGGAAACGAUAAAGUUUGUUGGAUCUGGGCUUUUCACUAACACUGAAAUUCCUUAAUUAAAAGUUGCCUGGUGUAUCUUUUGAAACGUUUACCGGAAAGCAUGACCAAUGGACGCUGGCCUCGGCCAAGUUCUUGAUUGCUGAUAAAGGCCGUCGAGAAAAUACUAUCUUGGUAAAAAUUUAAACACGAAAGUAUUAAACCCACUUUUAAGACUUGAUCUCAAAUCAGAUAAGACUACCCGCUGAACUUAA